rnacentral:lncRNA from 1 species
AAAAGGGAAAAAAACCAGUAUGAUGACUAAGCAGACUCACCUAUAUUAAUAGGAGCAAAGUUUCUGAAAAACCAAACACCAAUAAGAUUUGGUAACAGCUGAAACUAUCAAGUAGUGCCUAUAGCCACAAGUAAGACAGAAGAGAGAUGAUGUAUAAAAGCUGAUGGAAUACCCUGCAUCAAUUGGAGUUCUUGUCACAAUCCAUCGUAGCUGAUAGAAGCAUAUAAGUAUAAAA